rnacentral:rRNA from 1 species
GAUAAACGCUGACAGAAUGCUUAACACAUGCAAGUCGAUGAUGGGAGCUAGCUUGCUAGAAGAAGUCAUGGCGGACGGGUGAGUAACGUGUAAAGAACUUACCAUAUAGACUGGGAUAACAGAGGGAAACUUCUGAUAAUACUGGAUAAGUUAGUAGUAGCAUUACUAAGUAAUGAAAGGUAGCAAUACGCUAUAUGAGAGCUUUGCAUCCUAUUAGCUAGUUGGUGGGGUAAAAGCCUACCAAGGCGAUGAUAGGUAGCCGGCCUGAGAGGGUGGACAGCCACAAGGGGACUGAGACACGGCCCUUACUCCUACGGGAGGCAGCAGUGGGGAAUAUUGGACAAUGGAGGCAACUCUGAUCCAGCAAUUCUGUGUGUGUGAAGAAGGUUUUAGGACUGUAAAACACUUUUAGUAGGGAAGAAAGAAAUGACGGUACAUACAGAAGAAGCGACGGCUAAAUACGUG